rnacentral:rRNA from 1 species
UACGAAGGGGGCGAGCGUUGUUCGGAAUUACUGGGCGUAAAGGGCGCGUAGGCGGUGUGUCAAGUCAGGUGUGAAAGCCCCGGGCUCAACCCGGGAACGGCGCUUGAGACUGGCACGCUCGAGUUCGGGAGAGGAUGGUGGAAUUCCCAGUGUAGAGGUGAAAUUCGUAGAUAUCAGGAGGAACACCGGUGGCGAAGGCGGCUCUCUGGACCACAACUGACGCUGAGGCGCGAAAGCUAGGGGAGCAAACAGG